UGGGAUACCUCAGUCAGUAAAGCAUGAGGCUGUUAAUCUCAGGAUCGUGGGUUAGAGCCCCACACUGAGCAAAA